GACGAACGCUGGCGGCGUGCCUAACACAUGCAAGUCGAGCGAGUGAAUCUCCUUCGGGAGUGAAGCUAGCGGCGGACGGGUGAGUAACACGUGGGCAACCUGCCUCAUAGAGGGGAAUAGCCUUUCGAAAGGAAGAUUAAUACCGCAUAAGAUUGUAGCUUCGCAUGAAGUAGCAAUUAAAGGAGCAAUCCGCUAUGAGAUGGGCCCGCGGCGCAUUAGCUAGUUGGUGAGGUAACGGCUCACCAAGGCGACGAUGCGUAGCCGACCUGAGAGGGUGAUCGGCCAAAGUGGGACGGAGACACGGCCCAGACUCCUACGGGAGGCAGCAGUGGGGAAUAUUGCACAAUGGGGGAAACCCUGAUGCAGCAACGCCGCGUGAGUGAUGACGGCCUUCGGGUUGUAAAGCUCUGUCUUCAGGGACGAUAAUGACGGUACCUGAGGAGGAAGCCACGGCUAACUACGUGCCAGCCGCCGCGGUAA
rnacentral:rRNA from 1 species